rnacentral:rRNA from 1 species
CACUUAAAGGAAGGAGCAGGCGCGCAAUUACCCAAUCCUGACUCAGGGAGGUAGUGACAAGAAAUAACAAUAAACCGGCUUAUGCCGGUUUAAUUGGAAUGAGUACAAUUUAAACAUCUUAACGAGGAACAAUUGGAGGGCAAGUCUGGUGCCAGCAGCCGCGGUAAUUCCAGCUCCAAUAGCGUAUACUAAAGUUGUUGCAGUUAAAAAGCUCGUAGUUGGAUUUCUGUGGGGACGGAGCGGCCGGCCGCACAUCGCGGUUCGAGCUAGCGCUUUCCCUACAUCCUGCCGCGAACCGUGCUACCAUUAGUUUGGUGGCGCCGGGGAUCGGCUCGAUUACUUUGAGAAAAAUAGAGUGUUCAAAGCAGGCCACAUGCCUUGAAUAAGUUAGCAUGGAAUAAUAACUAAGGACUUCGGUUCUAUUUUGUUGGUGUUCGGGACUGAAGUAAUGAUUGAUAGGGACAGUUGGGGCGGUCUGUAUUCCAAAGCGAGAGGUGAAAUUCUUAGACCUUCGGAAGACAAACAGCUGCGAAAGCGUUCCGCAAGGAUGUUCCCGUUGAUCAAGAACGAAAGUUGGGGGAUCGAAGACGAUCAGAUACCGUCGUAGUCUCAACUAUAAACUAUACCAGCUAGGGAUCGGCCAACGUUAUUUUAUACCGACUUGGUCGGCACCUUAUGAGAAAUCAAAGCAUCUGGGUUCCGGGGGGAGUAUGGUCGCAAGGCUGAAACUUAAAGGAAUUGACGGAAGGGCACCACCAGCCGUGGAGCCUGUGGCUUAAUUUGACUCAACACGGGAAAACUUACCAGGUCCAGACAUAGUAAGGAUUGACAGAUUGAUAGCUCUUUCUUGAUUCUGUGGGUGGUGGUGCAUGGCCGUUCUUAGUUGGUGGAGUGAUUUGUCUGGUUAAUUCCGUUAACGAACGGGACCCCAGCCUGCUAAAUAGCGCGCGUGAGCUUUGCUCGCGGCGAGCUUCUUAGAGGGACUAUGAUGCGCGAUAGCACAUGGAAGUUUGGGGCAAUAACAGGUCUGUGAUGCCCUUAGAUGUUCUGGGCCGCACACGGGCUACACUGGCGCCUGCAACGAGCAUAUCAGCUGGCCCGAGAGGGUCUUGGCUAAUCUUUUGAACCGGCGCCGUGCUUGGGAUUGACCUUUGCAAUUGUCGGUCAUGCAACGAGGAAUGCCUUGUAAACGCGAGUCAUCAGCUCGCAUUGAAUACGUCCCUGCCCUUUGUACACACCGCCCGUCGCUCCUACCGAUGAAUGUUCCGAUGAAAUUUUCGGAGAGCACCUGUGAACUUGGCUCUGCCUUGCGAACGGGAGGCUCAAAGUCAC